rnacentral:lncRNA from 1 species
GGGCAUUGAAACAGAGGGGAUUAGGGUAUUGAGCUAUAUUAAAGAACAAUUGAAGAUGUUGAAUGUUAAAGAAAAAAAGUCCAGUCUUCAGAAAGACAGAGAAGGUUACUAAAAAGUUAACAGGAAGGGACGAUGCCAUUAACAUAAAGGUAAUUAUCAGCUGAGAGGUAUGAGGAUGAAGAGUUCUGAACUUUCUAAUAGAAGAAGACCAGACUAUAAUUAAAUAAUUUAAAAAUGCAUAAUAUGUAAUAAUAAUAACAGUA